UACGGAGGGUGCGAGCGUUGCUCGGAAUCACUGGGCGUAAAGCGUACGCAGGCGGAUCGUUAAGUCGGGUGUGAAAGCCCGGGGCUCAACCCCGGAAUUGCAUUCGAAACUGGCGGUCUUGAGUACGGGAGAGGGAGGCGGAAUUCCUGGUGUAGAGGUGAAAUUCGUAGAUAUCAGGAGGAACACCGGUGGCGAAAGCGGCCUCCUGGCCCGAUACUGACGCUCAUGUACGAGAGCGUGGGGAGCAAACAGG
rnacentral:rRNA from 1 species